UCUCUGGUGGUCCAGUGGCUAAGACUCUGCACUCUCAGGGCAGGGAACCCAGGUUCGAUCCCUGGUCAGGGAA
rnacentral:tRNA from 1 species